rnacentral:rRNA from 1 species
CCUACGGGAGGCAGCAGUGGGGAAUAUUGCACAAUGGGGGAAACCCUGAUGCAGCGACGCCGCGUGAGUGAAGAAGUAUUUCGGUAUGUAAAGCUCUAUCAGCAGGGAAGAAACCCACCCUCCGGGGUGGCUGACGGUACCUGACUAAGAAGCCCCGGCUAACUACGUGCCAGCAGCCGCGGUAAUACGUAGGGGGCAAGCGUUAUCCGGAUUUACUGGGUGUAAAGGGAGCGUAGGUGGCAAGGCAAGUCAGAUGUGAAAACCCGGGGCCCAACCCCGGGAGUGCAUUUGAUACUGUUUGGCUAGAGUGCAGGAGAGGUAGGUGGAAUGCCUAGUGUAGCGGUGAAAUGCAUAGAGAUUAGGAGGAACACCAGUGGCGAAGGCGGCUUACUGGACUGUAACUGACACUGAGGCUCGAAAGCGUGGGGAGCAAACAGGAUUAGAUACCCUUGUAGUC